rnacentral:rRNA from 1 species
AUUGAACGCUGGCGGCAUGCCUUACACAUGCAAGUCGAACGGUAACAGGUCUUCGGAUGCUGACGAGUGGCGAACGGGUGAGUAAUACAUCGGAACGUGCCCGAUCGUGGGGGAUAACGAAGCGAAAGCUUUGCUAAUACCGCAUACGAUCUACGGAUGAAAGCAGGGGACCGCAAGGCUUUGCGCGAACGGAGCGGCCGAUGGCAGAUUAGGUAGUUGGUGGGAUAAAAGCUUACCAAGCCGACGAUCUGUAGCUGGUCUGAGAGGACGACCAGCCACACUGGGACUGAGACACGGCCCAGACUCCUACGGGAGGCAGCAGUGGGGAAUUUUGGACAAUGGGCGAAAGCCUGAUCCAGCCAUGCCGCGUGCAGGAUGAAGGCCUUCGGGUUGUAAACUGCUUUUGUACGGAACGAAAAGACUCUGGUUAAUACCUGGGGUCCAUGACGGUACCGUAAGAAUAAGCACCGGCUAACUACGUG